rnacentral:lncRNA from 1 species
AAUACAAUAGUCUUGAACACUCCACCACAAGCCGGUAGGAUUUGUUCUUGGAUUCUUCAAUUAAACAAUAAAUUAAACCAAGGAAAUAAAACUAGAAUCUAACGUAAGGUUAGAUCCGAUAAAAAGUUGCACAAUAGUUUCCGGUGUAGAAACUAUUAUGCGAAAAAUAUCUAAAUGCUAAAAAGGGAAAGGUAAAUUGCAAGGGAAAAAGAAUGUAGAACUUGCAAAAGAAAUAAAUAAAUAAACAAUGUUAAGUUGCUGGAAAAAAAAAAAAAUAAGCAAAAGCGUAAAAAGAAAGAAAAUUGGCAAAGCUUCGGCAAUGUGAGCGUGGAAAAACCGAGGAACCCUUUUAGGUUUUUGAAGUAGCUAUUUAUAUUGGUGCUGGUAACUGCUUUUCGUUUCCCAAGGUCUUCAACGUGGCUAAAUGCACGGCGUGGAUAUAGGACACAAACUCCUCAACGUCUCUUCAAGUCUUCUGAGGGCGUUACUUGCGCCAAAAAGGUAGUGGAAUGGUG